AUCCGCGUACCCGCAGUUCUCCCCGCACCCCUCAGCCCCAGGCCCCGCCGCCCAGCCCGCGCUUACCUGCAGCCCAGCACCGCCAGGGACCCUUGCCCGUACGCCCGAAACACUGAGGCCUGGGCGUGGAGAGGCUCCAGAUGAUUUGACCAGAUCAAUGCCCAGAAACUAAUGAAAAUGAAGAUCUUUUCUACCCCAUCGCUCAAAGCUCUCUCGAGCUUGGAGUAAAGAGGAGUCACUUGGAGGAGAGACUGGAAGACAGACACUUGAGGAGAGACUGGAAGACAGACACUCAGACUUGGCUGUGGAACUGGACUCCUGGAGGAGCUCGUGCAGGAGACCUAAGAUGAAGACUAAAAAGCUCUCCUUUUAGACAGUCACCAUGGUGAGUGAAAGGCUGACUUAGUUUCCCUGCCUUUCUGGAGGUGUGAACCUCUGAGAAAGGCCCAUCAUCUUGAGACUCAUUUCCCUGAUUAGGACCUUAAAAUUUCUACCUGGUUCUGAGGAAGCAGAGCUCUCUCACUCUCUCCCUUUAUCUCAUUCAUUAAUACCUUCCCUCUAUUGUAAAUAAAACUACAAUAAAUUCCAUUUUACUUUA